rnacentral:misc_RNA from 1 species
GUCCGAUUAAUCAUCCUCCUUUUCCAUUACAAUAAAGAGAGAGAGUUCAAAUGAUGUUGAAGGUUUUCCACAUUGUACAGGAAGAUCCUUCAAUUUUUCAGGCCUGUUGAGAGCGUUCAAAUGGCUUCGCCUGUCAAAUUUUUCAGGCCAGGAAGAUCCACAUUGUAAAUGCUUUCUUUCUUGAUUUUCAAUUCGGUAUCCUUCAAUUUUCAGCAUUCAGGGUGUGCUUGCUUCUCUAGUUGCAAAAUAAGUUAUAUUGAUCCUUAUUGAAAAUCAAGAAAG